UACGUAGGGUGCAAGCGUUAAUCGGAAUUACUGGGCGUAAAGCGUGCGCAGGCGGUUGUGUAAGACAGAUGUGAAAUCCCCGGGCUCAACCUGGGAACUGCAUUUGUGACUGCACAGCUGGAGUGCGGCAGAGGGGGAUGGAAUUCCGCGUGUAGCAGUGAAAUGCGUAGAUAUGCGGAGGAACACCGAUGGCGAAGGCAAUCCCCUGGGCCUGCACUGACGCUCAUGCACGAAAGCGUGGGGAGCAAACAGGAUUGAGAAACCCCG
rnacentral:rRNA from 1 species